GACUGUUACGGUGGACUAAGUGGUUAGAGCGUCCGUCUUGGAUGCAAGCGGUCGCGGGUUCGAACCCCGGCCGAGCCA